rnacentral:rRNA from 1 species
AUGAACGCUAGCUACAGGCUUAACACAUGCAAGUCGAGGGGCAGCAUGGUCUUAGCUUGCUAAGGCCGAUGGCGACCGGCGCACGGGUGAGUAACACGUAUCCAACCUGCCGUCUACUCUUGGACAGCCUUCUGAAAGGAAGAUUAAUACAAGAUGGCAUCAUGAGUCCGCAUGUUCACAUGAUUAAAGGUAUUCCGGUAGACGAUGGGGAUGCGUUCCAUUAGAUAGUAGGCGGGGUAACGGCCCACCUAGUCUUCGAUGGAUAGGGGUUCUGAGAGGAAGGUCCCCCACAUUGGAACUGAGACACGGUCCAAACUCCUACGGGAGGCAGCAGUGAGGAAUAUUGGUCAAUGGGCGAGAGCCUGAACCAGCCAAGUAGCGUGAAGGAUGACUGCCCUAUGGGUUGUAAACUUCUUUUAUAAAGGAAUAAAGUCGGGUAUGGAUACCCGUUUGCAUGUACUUUAUGAAUAAGGAUCGGCUAACUCCGUGCCAGCAGCCGCGGUAAUACGGAGGAUCCGAGCGUUAUCCGGAUUUAUUGGGUUUAAAGGGAGCGUAGAUGGAUGUUUAAGUCAGUUGUGAAAGUUUGCGGCUCAACCGUAAAAUUGCAGUUGAUACUGGAUAUCUUGAGUGCAGUUGAGGCAGGCGGAAUUCGUGGUGUAGCGGUGAAAUGCUUAGAUAUCACGAAGAACUCCUAUUGCGAAGGCAGCCUGCUAAGCUGCAACUGACAUUGAGGCUCGAAAGUGUGGGUAUCAAACAGGAUUAGAUACCCUGGUAGUCCACACGGUAAACGAUGAAUACUCGCUGUUUGCGAUAUACAGCAAGCGGCCAAGCGAAAGCGUUAAGUAUUCCACCUGGGGAGUACGCCGGCAACGGUGAAACUCAAAGGAAUUGACGGGGGCCCGCACAAGCGGAGGAACAUGUGGUUUAAUUCGAUGAUACGCGAGGAACCUUACCCGGGCUUAAAUUGCAGAUGAAUUACGGUGAAAGCCGUAAGCCGCAAGGCAUCUGUGAAGGUGCUGCAUGGUUGUCGUCAGCUCGUGCCGUGAGGUGUCGGCUUAAGUGCCAUAACGAGCGCAACCCUUGUUGUCAGUUACUAACAGGUUCCGCUGAGGACUCUGACAAGACUGCCAUCGUAAGAUGUGAGGAAGGUGGGGAUGACGUCAAAUCAGCACGGCCCUUACGUCCGGGGCUACACACGUGUUACAAUGGGGGGUACAGAGGGCCGCUACCACGCGAGUGGAUGCCAAUCCCCAAAACCUCUCUCAGUUCGGACUGGAGUCUGCAACCCGACUCCACGAAGCUGGAUUCGCUAGUAAUCGCGCAUCAGCCACGGCGCGGUGAAUACGUUCCCGGGCCUUGUACACACCGCCCGUCAAGCCAUGGGAGCCGGGGGUACCUGAAGUGCGUAACCGCGAGGAGCGCCCUAGGGUAAAACUGGUGACUGGGGCU